AUUGAACGCUGGCGGCAGGCCUAACACAUGCAAGUCGAGCGGAGCGGCGGACGGGUGAGUAAUGCCUAGGAAUGUGCCUGGUAGUGGGGGAUAACGACAGGAAACGGGCGCUAUUACCGCAUACUAUUAGAUGAGCCUAGGGCGGAGUAGCUAGUUGGGGGGGUAAAGGCCUACCAAGGCGACGAUCCGUAACUGGUCUGAGAGGAUGAUCAGUCACACGGGAACUGAGACACGGUCCAGACUCCUACGGGAGGCAGCAGUGGGGAAUAUUGGACAAUGGGCGAAAGCCUGAGGCAGCCAUGCCGCGUUUGUGAAGAAGGCCUUCGGGUUGUAAAGCACUUUCAGCGGGGAGGCGUUACCCGCAGAAGAAGCACCGGCUAACUCCGUGCCAGCCGCCGCGGUAAUAC
rnacentral:rRNA from 1 species